rnacentral:rRNA from 1 species
GACGAACGCUGGCGGCGUGCUUAACACAUGCAAGUCUAACGGAAAGGCCCUGCUUUUGUGGGGUGCUCGAGUGGCGAACGGGUGAGUAACACGUGGGUAACCUGCAAUUGCCUGUGGGGUAACUUAAGGAAGCUGAGGGUAAUACGGGAUAGGAGCUAUUGCUGCAUGGUGGGGGUGGGAAGGUUUCGGCGGUUGGGAAUGGACUCGCGGCUUAUCAGCUUGUUGGUUGGGUAGUGGCUUAGCAAGGCCUUGAAGGGUGGCCGGGCUGGGAGGGUAACCUGCCACGCUGCGACUGGAAUGCGGCCCAGACUCCUACGGGACGCAGCAGAGGGGUAGAGUGCACAAUGGGCGGAACCCUGAUGCAGCAACGCCGCGUGCGGUAAGUCAUCCUGCGCUUUGUAUACCACUGUCGCCUGUGACGAAGCGUGAGUGACGGUAAUGGGUAAAGAAGCACCGGCUAACUACGUG